rnacentral:rRNA from 1 species
CAGCCGCCGCGGUAAUACCAGCACCCCGAGUGGUCGGGACGUUUAUUGGGCCUAAAGCAUCCGUAGCCGGUUCUACAAGUCUUCCGUUAAAUCCACCUGCUUAACAGAUGGGCUGCGGAAGAUACUAUAGAGCUAGGAGGCGGGAGAGGCAAGCGGUACUCGAUGGGUAGGGGUAAAAUCCGUUGAUCCAUUGAAGACCACCAGUGGCGAAGGCGGCUUGCCAGAACGCGCUCGACGGUGAGGGAUGAAAGCUGGGGGAGCAAACCGG